rnacentral:rRNA from 1 species
CCUACGGGUGGCAGCAGUGAGGAAUAUUGGUCAAUGGGCGAGAGCCUGAACCAGCCAAGUCGCGUGAAGGAUGACGGCCCUACGGGUUGUAAACUUCUUUUGUCAGGGAGCAAUUGAGUCCACGUGUGGGCUUAGCGAGAGUACCUGAAGAAAAAGCAUCGGCUAACUCCGUGCCAGCAGCCGCGGUAAUACGGGGGGUGCAAGCGUUGUCCGGAAUCAUUGGGCGUAAAGAGUUCGUAGGCGGCACGUAAAGUCUGGUGUUAAAGGCAGAGGCUCAACUUCUGUACGGCACUGGAUACUUGCGAGCUAGAAUGCGGUAGAGGUAAAGGGAAUUCCUGGUGUAGCGGUGAAAUGCUUAGAUAUCAGGAGGAACAUCGGUGGCGUAAGCGCUUUACUGGGCCGUAAUUGACGCUGAGGAACGAAAGCCAGGGUAGCAAAUGGGAUUAGAUACCCCAGUAGUC